ensembl:lncRNA novel transcript
GGUCACUGCGAGGGUGAGCCCCGCUUUAUCUACCCCUUCUGCUGUUGAUGGGCACUCGUCUGGGGCUAGAAGGGAUAAGGUUGCUGUGAGCGUUCUCGUGUGUUUUUGGUGCACGCGCACACACAUUUCUCUGGGGUGCAGACCUGUCUAGUAGUGGAACUGCCGUUUCCCAGCACUUUGGAGCAAAGCCCUGUUGCAGUCUGAAGCGGAAAAGGCAGACGGGCCUUCCAUGUUCGUGAUUCCAGCCAGGCACAGAAGGGAAGGACAGGGACAGCAGCCGCGCGGAGGCGAGGAGGGACACUGGGCGCUGCUGUCCCCUCUCAGGGGCAGCCACUCCUCUUGUGGACGCAGGUGUGGUCACCAGAAGGGAAGGACAGCAGAGGACUCUUCAGGGACCUUCCUGGAUCCCCCUGCAAUGGGAGUGGCCUACUUGCUUGACUUGAGGGUGAGACUUGGUCAGCCCUUGACUGUAGGGGGCAGGACCAUGGGCUUCAGUGGGGCAGCACCCAUGACCCACGCCUCUGCUUCCAUUCCCUGCUUACUGCCCGGGCCUCUGGGCAGGGGAGUCUAGUCUCCCUUCCCAGGCUUCCAAUGCCUCGCCCCCUGCUGUGGUAAGGAUUCGCGCUGGUCCCUAUUUAUUAAUCAGGGAACUUGGGGUUCCAGUUUUCUCCCCUUCUCUGCAUCUCAUCCCCUUGAGAGCCCCCUGGAGCAGAGGAUAACGCACGAGGGGACUGGCUGUGUAUAUUUUGAUAACAAUAUCAAAAUACUGUCAAAUACUAAACGGAAAAGAAAUAGGAAAACAUUGAACUUUAUUAAAAUGAACUUCAAAAGACACCAUUAAGAGUAAAAAGAUGACUCACAAAAAAGUUGCCUUUUGUUCAGUAAACGACUCAGGACCAGAAAAUAUGAAGACCCCUACAACAAGAAAAAUAUAGAUAGCUCAGUUAAAAAUUGACAAAAGACUUGAAAAGAUAUUUCACAAAAGGAGAGAUCCAGACAGUCAAUCCACACACGAAAGGGUACUUAGCAUCAGGGAACUGCAAAUAGUGACAUUCGAUUCCAUAUCACAGCCACUGGAUGGCUAAAAUAGCAACGCCAAGUGCUGAUGAGACUGUGGAACAACCAGCUGGGCUCUCAUACCCUGCUGAUGGGAGAGUGGAUUGGAGCAACCACGUGGAAACAUCUAAUGGAGGAAAGGGAGGCAUGACAGCUCCACAUCUGUGUUCACCCUUGUGGAUCCCAGGUGAGACUCCAGAUGAAAUGGGAGAGUUCUCUGACCCCCUCACAGGACAUGUGACAGGAGUGUGGCUAGUCUGUUCAGCCUCCACCACUGCUGAAACACCUUAUGGGAGGGGGAGCAUGCAGAUGGGCAAGCGCAGGUGCCAGGGCCAGCGCUUUUGGGCUUCAACCCCAUGGUGGCAUCUAGGGGUGUGUGUCUGUGACUCCUGAAGCCCCAGUGUGUGUGCUCCAGUGCUCUUUUAGCUCUGCUGUCUGUCAGGCCUCUGAGCCCAAGCUAAGCCAUCAGAUCCCCUGUGACCUGCACGUAUACAUCCAGACGGCCUGAAGCAACUGAAGAACCACAAAAGAAGUGAAAAUAGCCAGUUCCUGCCUUAACUGAUGACAAUCCACCAUUGUGAUUUGUUCCUGCCCCACCCUAACUGAUCAAUUGGCCUUGUGACAUUCCUUCUCCUGGGCAACGAGUCUCAUGAUCUCCCCACCCUGCACCUUGUGAGCCCCGUCCCUGCCCACAAGAGAUAACCACCUUUAACUGUAAUUUUCCACUACCUACCCAAAU